rnacentral:lncRNA from 1 species
UUGAACAAAGUAGUGCGACGAGAAGGCGUCUGUCUUUGGCUAUGGCCAAUUUGCCAGCGAAUGCUCGAAUGCUAAAGAACAACGGAACCACAUUAUACUAGCGUCCUGUGCGGGUCUCUCGUCGUCCAGGACCAAGUCACUGCCGGCCGUGAGCCUGAUUUUGUUGCGGACAAAGAAAAAGGCACAGCCGCACCGGCAGGCUCGUGUGUUUGGCGAGCAAACACCACGUCUGGAUGUCACAAUGAUGCCUUUCUUCUGAAAGACUGAUGCGUCGGUAGCCAUCGUCGGUAUCCCCGUUCAACGACGGAACGAGCCACGUGCUCAAAAAUAGGUUAGCCGCUGAAGCAGUAGCAGUAACAAAACCUGCAACAGCUGCCGCAGCAAUGGCAUCAGUGACGCCUGACGUGUCGUGGUGAGUGGCAGCAAGGAUCUAUAUAUAACUGUCGCUACUGGUAACACCCAGAACACCCGCGUCUGCACCUGAGCAAGGGUGCUACGAAACCAUGGUCUGACAGUAAAAUUUAGAAUGAACCCAACGAACGACAGCAUCAUCAUUCAAUAUUGUCGCUAGCCAAUACUAAGCGUUUUCCUGUCUAUAUACGUUUUAUCGUUACAACCGACAGGCGUUCUCGUGCUACUACGUUUUCUGUCUCGAGCGCCCUGGUCAUCUCCGAUGCCAGCUAGAGAAGGGAACACAUCGUGACUCGGGACCACGACAAGCCUUUUCGUCUUCGAUAUGGUCAUGAGGCUCGGCCAGACUUCAUCUCGUCGUCGAACUCAUCCCCUUCCCCUCCGGGGUUGACGACUUCAGAUCCUUCGUCAUCAGUCGGGGCCCGCUUCAGAGUACCCCGUUGUCCGCAGAAUGCAACCAGUCCAGUAGCAGCGGCUUCCGCAGCAGCAGGAGCGGCAUUGGAGCACCGAAAUGAAGGCGGCGUCGGCGGUUGACGCCGGCAACAUUCUCCGCCAGAAGCAGCAGCGCAAGGAUGAGUGAGGUGUGCAUGCUGCUCCAGCUGCUGCUGCUGCUGCUGCUGCUACUUCUGAUCGGUCGUAUUCGCUGCGACGCUGGCGGUUGAAGUCACCGCUCGCAGCUCCUGUGGCCAUUACUGGUACUUCCGAGGCAGCGAAUGAACAGAAUGAGCUGGCUCGGAACUCAAUGAGAAUCGGCUGGUUGAUUCGCUGUUGGUGGAAGAAAACGCUGCUGAUCCUUGACCCCUGGACCUUUUUCUUCAACCGACAGAAGUAGUAGUCGUCAUAGUAGUGCUAGCAGCAAACAACCCCCGCGAUGAGGCACGAUGAUCGUCGAUGUGUACGUUAGCGGCAAUAACGAUAGCAACGGCAAUAGCCACAAGCCUUCAGACAUGCUGGUUUGUUCAAUUGGCUUGUCCAACAAGACAGAACGACUGACUAAAGCAGACCACCAGUAGAACGCCAGUAUGGAAUGAAAUGGUCUAUAAGCGAUGUCUGUCGUAGCAUAGACAACUGCCGAUGAGAAACAACGCCAGCCAGCGAGACAAUCAGCAAGUCAGCCAAGCAAUUGCCGUCGCCAAUAGCUCUUGGUCAUCUUUUUCUUCUUUUACCACCAAAGCUAUGCCUGAACUCCAAUCUGUUACCUUUCCCUUUAUUUCUUCCCGCGCUCCUUACCGUCUCCUUGAUUCGGCUCCACGUCGCUGCCGAAGCCACUCCCCCACCGAUAAACGGCAACCGACGAUUACGCUCGUUCGAGAUACAAGUAAUGAUACCGAGCGGAUACGACGGAAUCGAGGACUUCAAACUGAACUUCUCAAUCUAUCCACUCGUUACCCUGUGGAUGGCUGAAAUAACUGUAAUAGCGCAGGGUACAGAUCUUCGUAAACGAACCGUUGAGAAAAAAAAAAA